rfam:Aedes albopictus isolate Foshan contig28712, whole genome shotgun sequence.
UGCCCAGCAACUCCUAUCCCUACCUCCACGCAGUACCGGCCGGAAACUAUGAGCAACCUUAGGGAAGAUCGGGUAACCAACCCCGGUGGGACCUUUGGUCGUAGGCUGACAGGGAAGG